rnacentral:tRNA from 1 species
GGGAGUAUAGUUUAAUUUUGGUUAAAGCAUUAGCCUGUCACGCUAAAGACUACGGGUUCAAACCCCGUUACUCUCG